UAUGUGAUUGGGUUCUAUGGCCCAGAGCCUGUCAUCUCAGUCAUUCAAGAUGUUGAGGCAGGAGGAUAGAAACGCCCGGCCUACAUAUGUAGUGAUUUCGACAUCGUCCUGGCCCGCUUUUGAGGAUGCAACCUAAAAACUAAAAAUGAAAUUGAGCAUGGUGGGUCCCCGCACGCAGGAGGCAGAGCCUUGCCUGUCUGGGCCCUGCAGGUUCUCC
rnacentral:lncRNA from 1 species